AUUGAACGCUGGCGGCAUGCCUUACACAUGCAAGUCGAACGGUAACGGGUGUUUGUUUGCCGUCGUUUGGGGGACGGGAGAGUAUUAGAACGGCACGUGGCCUAUCGGUUGGGUUCUCGAGGCGAAAGCUUUGCUAGUAUCUCAUACGAUCUACGUACUAUAGGAUUGGACUGCAAGGCUUUGGGAGGGCGUCGCGGCCGAUGGCAGAUUAGGUAGUUGGUGUGGGAAAAGCUUACCAAGCCGACGAACUGUAGCUGGUCUGAGAGGAUGAUCCGCCACACUGGGACUGAGACACGGCCCAGACUCCUACGGGAGGCAGCAGUGGGGAAUUUUGGACAAUGGGCGCAAGCCUGAUCCAGCCAUGCCGCGUGAGGGAUGAAGGCCUUCGGGUUGUAAACUGCUUUUGUCAGGGAAGAAAAGGCUUCUGUUAAUACAGGGGGGUCAUGACGGUACCGGAAGAAUAAGCACCGGCUAACUACGUG
rnacentral:rRNA from 1 species